UACGAAGGGUGCUAGCGUUGUUCGGAAUCACUGGGCGUGAAGCGCACGUAGGCGGAUUGUUAAGUCGGGGGUGAAAUCCUGAGGCUCAACCUCAGAACUGCCUUCGAUACUGGCGAUCUUGAGUCCGGAAGAGGUUGGUGGAACAGCUAGUGUAGAGGUGAAAUUCGUAGAUAUUAGCUAGAACACCAGUGGCGAAGGCGGCCAACUGGUCCGGAACUGACGCUGAGGUGCGAAAGCGUGGGGAGCAAACAGG
rnacentral:rRNA from 1 species